rnacentral:rRNA from 1 species
UACAGAGGUCCCAAGCGUUGUUCGGAUUCAUUGGGCGUAAAGGGUGUGUAGGUGGCGCCGUAAGUCGGGUGUGAAAUCUCGGGGCUUAACUCCGAAACUGCAUUCGAUACUGCGGUGCUUGAGGACUGGAGAGGAGACUGGAAUUCAUGGUGUAGCAGUGAAAUGCGUAGAGAUCAUGAGGAAGGCCAGUGGCGAAGGCGGGUCUCUGGACAGUUCCUGACACUGAGACACGAAGGCCAGGGGAGCAAACGGG